AUAACAAUAUAGGACUCUUUCAAGGCCCUGUAAUUGGAAUGAGUACACUUUAAAUGCUUUAACGAGGAUCUAUUGGAGGGCAAGUCUGGUGCAGAGCGACUGACCCGUGCGUGUGCAGCUGAAACUCCACUAUUGCCUGCUGCUG
rnacentral:rRNA from 1 species